AGUGGGAAGACAGUGUAUUCCAAACGCAGAGCUGUUUGGAGAACCUGGUCAGCCAGAUGGCCCUUUCGGAGCAGGAAUUCUCAGGCCAAGUGGCUCAACUGGAGCAGGCCCUGGAAGAGUUCAGUGCCCUUCUGAAAACCUGGGCUCAGCAGUUAACCCUCCUGGAAGGCAAGAACACGGAUGAGGAGAUAGUGGAAUGCUGGCACAAAGGACAAGAGAUACUGGAUGCUUUGCAAAAAGCAGAGCCUAGAACAGAGGAUCUCAAGUCUCAGCUGAAUGAACUUUGUCGAUUUUCCAGAGACCUGAGUACCUACAGUGGAAAAGUUUCUGGCUUGAUUAAAGAGUAUAAUUGUCUUUGUUUGCAAGCAUCCAAGGGCUGCCAGAAUAAAGAACAGAUUUUACAGCAAAGAUUUCGAAAGGCCUUCAGGGAUUUCCAGCAGUGGUUGGUUAAUGCAAAAAUCACUACCGCCAAGUGUUUUGAUAUACCUCAAAAUAUAAGUGAAGUUUCAACUAGUCUUCAGAAAAUACAGGAGUUUUUGUCAGAAAGUGAAAAUGGACAGCACAAGCUAAACAUGAUGCUGUCUAAAGGGGAACUUCUGAGUACCCUGCUGACCAAAGAGAAAGCGAAAGGGAUCCAGGCCAAAGUUACAGCUGCAAAAGAAGAUUGGAAAAAUUUUCAUUCAAAUCUCCACCAAAAAGAAUCUGCUCUAGAGAAUCUAAAGAUCCAAAUGAAGGACUUUGAAGUAAGUGCUGAGCCUAUCCAGGACUGGCUGAGUAAAACUGAGAAGAUGGUCCAUGAAAGCAGCAAUCGCCUCUAUGAUCUGCCAGCAAAGAGGAGGGAGCAGCAGAAGCUCCAGGUGAUGAGCCCGCCUCCCCGUAGCCCCAUCUGACCUAGUCUUUGUCCGUCCUCUGUCGACCUUACAGAUGCAUGCUCAGCACCCUUGAGUUAGACUGUGCUGCCGUGAGACAUAGUGUGUUUUUCCCCAUUUCUGGUGGAUUUUAUGUUUUCUGACUUUCCUUGGAAGUACUAUUUGUUUCCUUCCAUGAUUUGUGCUCCACGGUGUGUAGAUUGGAGAUAAUAAAGCCUCCAGGGUACACGGACUGCCUGCCAGUGUUGAUUUCCAUGUUCUCUGGGCCAAAGCUUCGUCCGCGAUGUGCUUUUCCCCAGCCUCUGAAUAGUAACUUGCUUGUGCUUUUCAGUCUGUCCUUGAGGAAAUACACUGCUACGAGCCUCAGCUCAACAGGCUGAAAGAGAAAGCUCAGCAGCUGUGGGAAGGACAAGCUGCCAGCAAGAGCUUUAGGCACAGAGUGUCGCAGCUGUCUUCUCAGUAUCUAGCGCUAAGCAAUUUAACAAAGGUAAUGCCUGGCACGUGCUGUGUGUGAGUGUGAUACUGAUGUCGCAAAAUUGGAGUUGCAGCAGGUUCUGCAGGGUGUGCAUUGCAUCCUGACCCGCCCACAGUGUGGGUCUCCAGGUCAGCAGUAAGGGGCGUGUGUGCUGUUUCCUUAGCCUUGCAAUCUGAGUUCAUCAUUGUUGUUGCAUCAGCUUGAUGUGGCUCUCUGAAAAGGCCGAAGGAGGUUUCAAAGAUUGAGGAGACUUUCAGUCUUCAUUAUUGCACAAGAUAUUCCUUUUAAUACUGAAAUAUGUUUCCCAGGGCUUUGAUUUGGAAGACUCAAAUCAUAAACAUGAUUUUUUUUUGUUCUAAAUAAUCCCAGAGUUUUUGUUCUAAAUAAUCCCAGAUUAAAUUACUUUAGAAAAAACAUGGAUUCUAAACAGUUUAAAUUUUAUUAGAUUAAAUAUAAUGAUAUUUUUUAAAAAUUCAUCUGAAUCUUUGCAUUCAUUAUAUAGUAGUCAAGGAUGUGUUGAUUGAGAGUUUCAGUUCAGAUUCUAGAGCAGAGCUCAAAAUUGGCAAUGGUUCAGACAACUGAUUAAACCUCUUUUCAAAUAGCUUAGAAGAAAAUAAAUGGAAUCCUACUACAAUCUCAUUUAGAACAUUCAGCCAUUUUGACGUAGAUGGUAACGUAGACCCAUUUUGAACUGUGUGUUGCAGACCUAUCUUGAGCUUUAUGUGGCUUAUAACCUUUGUUUCCUAUAUUUUUAACUUUCAGGUGUUAGAAUAUAGGGACACUGGUAUAAUUUAGUCUUUAAUUUGGCCUCAUCUGUUCUGUAAGUGUGGAUUUACAGAGGGUCUGCUCGUUUGGGUCUUCAAUACACAUCACUGAGGCGGUCACACUAGCUUAGGUCUGGGAGUAAAUAGUCUAUGUUUACACCAAUUUUUAUUCUAUGAUUGUUAUUCUGGGUGUUUUUAUAAAAUCUGGCACAUAUCUAAGUUAAGAUAAGGAAUGAAUCAUCUUAGAAUGAAUGAAGAACAUCUUUCCAUUCCUUUGUAUUUACUUAGAUACCAAAAGUAAUCGAUAUAUGAAUGUUUUGAGAGCUGUAGAUUAUUCUUGCAAAGUCUUCACUGUGUUAGAUAUAACCUAUAAUUGAUAAACAAAACCACAUGUAUGGUCCCAUGUUUUAAAAUUUAGAGAUAUUACAAAAAUCUCAGAUUAUUUUUUUUUAGAACUCUGGCUACAAUGUAGGUCAUGUGGGUUGUUGUGUCAGGUGAGCCUAAUGUGAUAUGUGAAAACUAGAAACUACUUUGACCAGUCUCCCAGACAAGGCAUUAGGGAGAAAUUUUACUGAUUUAAAAUAAUCAUGAUAGUCAUAAAGAAUUGGAGAGGCAUAAAAUUGUAACUUUUUUUUUUGCUUUUGACCCAGUUAUUCUAAUAGUUUUAUGAUUUAGAAAGAUCUUUGACAUAUCUCGUAGAUUUAGGCCAGACUUGCCUCGUAUCUGUGCAGCGUAUGAGGCCAUGACUGAUUGCCUUUGUUUCAAACAAACCGUUAGCUUUGCAAUUUGUCUCCGUGGGAUGGACAGCUCGAAAACCAUUUCUGUCAUUUCCAGGAGAAAGUGUCAAGACUGGAUAGAAUCGUUGCAGAACACAAUCAGUUCUCUCUUGGGAUUAAAGAAUUACAAGACUGGAUGACGGAUGCGAUUCACAUGCUGGAUUCAUACUGCCACCCGACAUCUGACAAAAGUGUGCUGGACAGCAGGACGCUCAAGCUCGAGGCUCUAUUAUCAGUCAAACAGGAAAAAGAGAUUCAGAUGAAAAUGAUAGUGACCAGGGGAGAAUCUGUCCUUCAGAAUACUUCUCCAGAAGGCAUUCCCACUAUUCAGCAGCAGCUGCAGAGUGUGAAGGAUAUGUGGGCAUCCCUUUUGUCUGCAGGGAUUCGUUGUAAAAGCCAACUUGAAGGAGCUCUCUCCAAAUGGACAAGUUAUCAGGAUGACGUUCGACAGUUCUCCGGUUGGAUGGAUAGUAUGGAAGCCAACCUAAAUGAAUCAGAAAGGCAGCACGCGGAGCUGCGGGAUAAAAUAACUAUGCUUGGAAAAGCCAAGUUAUUAAAUGAAGAAGUGCUGAGUUACAGCAGCUUGCUGGAGACCAUCGAAGUCAAAGGGGCUGGCAUGACAGAACACUAUGUCACCCAGCUAGAACUCCAGGAUCUACAGGAACGAUACAGAGCCAUCCAAGAGAGGGCCAAGGAAGCCGUAACCAAGUCUGAAAAACUUGUCCGCCUGCACCAAGAGUAUCAGAGAGACCUAAAGGCAUUUGAAGUUUGGUUGGGGCAAGAACAAGAAAAGCUCGACCAGUAUUCAGUUCUUGAAGGUGAUGCCCACACUCAUGAGACAACAUUGCGUGAUCUUCAGGAGCUACAGGUACACUGUGCAGAGGGGCAGGCCCUGUUGAACUCAGUGCUGCACACCAGAGAGGAUGUGAUCCCAUCAGGUAUCCCACAGGCAGAGGACCGGGCUUUAGAGUCUCUCCGGCAAGACUGGCAGGCUUACCAGCACAGGCUGUCCGAGACCCGAACUCAGUUCAAUAACGUGGUGAACAAAUUGAGGCUAAUGGAGCAAAAGUUUCAGCAAGUAGAUGAAUGGCUCAAAACAGCAGAGGACAAAGUUAGUCCCAGGACCAGACGUCAGUCUAACAGGGCAACCAAGGAGAUACAAUUACAUCAGAUGAAGAAGUGGCACGAAGAAGUGACUGCAUACAGAGAUGAAGUUGAGGAAGUGGGAGCUAGAGCUCAGGAGAUACUGGACGAGAGCCACGUGAACAGCAGAAUGGGUUGCCAGGCCACCCAGCUGACUUCCAGAUACCAGGCCCUGCUUCUCCAAGUGCUGGAACAAAUAAAAUUCCUGGAGGAAGAGAUUCAGAGUUUGGAGGAAUCAGAAUCAUCCCUCAGUUCCUAUUCUGAUUGGUAUGGCUCUACUCAUAAAAACUUCAAGAAUGUGGCUACCAAGAUUGACAAAGUAGAUACAGCAAUGAUGGGGAAGAAAUUGAAGACGUUGGAGGUUUUGCUAAAAGACAUGGAGAAAGGUCACAGUUUGCUAAAAUCGGCCCGGGAGAAAGGAGAGAGGGCUGUUAAAUACUUGGAGGAAAGCGAGGCAGAGAGGUUAAGAAAGGAGAUUCAUGAUCACGUGGAGCAGUUGAAGGAACUGACCAGCACUGUCCGGAAAGAACACAUGACGCUGGAAAAAGGUCUUCAUUUAGCAAAGGAAUUCUCAGAUAAAUGCAAAGCACUGACACAGUGGAUAGCAGAAUACCAGGAAAUCCUACAUGUUCCUGAAGAACCCAAAAUGGAAUUAUAUGAGAAAAAAGCUCAGUUAUCUAAAUACAAGUCACUUCAACAAACGGUGCUGUCCCAUGAACCAUCAGUAAAGUCAGUGAGAGAGAAGGGUGAAGCUCUUCUGGAACUGGUGCAGGAUGUCACUUUAAAGGACAAAAUAGAUCAACUUCAAAGUGAUUACCAGGACCUGUGCAGCAUAGGAAAGGAGCAUGUCUUCAGUCUGGAGGCGAAAGUCAAAGACCAUGAAGACUACAACAGUGAGCUCCAAGAGGUCGAAAAGUGGCUGCUGCAGAUGUCUGGCAGACUGGUGGCACCUGACCUCCUGGAGACAAGCAGCCUGGAGACAAUCACCCAGCAAUUGGCCCACCACAAGGCAAUGAUGGAAGAAAUUGCUGGUUUUGAAGACCGUUUGAACAAUCUUCAAAUGAAAGGUGAUACUUUGAUUGGCCAAUGUGCAGACCACCUGCAAGCGAAACUUAAACAAAACGUGCAUGCUCAUCUGCAGGGCACAAAGGACAGCUACUCAGCGAUCUGCAGCACAGCUCAGAGGGUGUACCAGAGUUUGGAACACGAACUUCAGAAGCACGUCAGCCGACAAGAUACCCUGCAGCAGUGCCAGGCCUGGCUUUCUGCAGUCCAGCCGGAUUUAGAGCCAAGUCCUCAACCACCUCUUAGUAGGGCAGAAGCCGUUAAGCAGGUCAAACACUUCAGAGCUUUGCAAGAGCAGGCAAGGACCUACCUAGAUCUCCUUUGCUCCAUGUGUGACCUGUCAAAUGCUUCGGUGAAAACCACAGCAAAAGACAUUCAACAAACAGAGCAAACGAUUGAACAAAGGCUCGUCCAGGCCCAGAACUUAACUCAGGGUUGGGAAGAGAUCAAGCACCUGAAGUCUGAGCUCUGGAUUUACCUGCAAGAUGCUGAUCAGCAACUGCAGAACAUGAAGAGGAGGCACUCUGAGCUAGAGCUGAACAUUGCACAGAACAUGGUUUCACAAGUUAAGGUGGGAAUUAAUUUGCCCCCAAGGGAGAUAAAAGAGGCCAACAGAGUAGAAAACUUGAAAUGUGUUCAGUUUAUUCACUUCAAUAUGCCUGAGUGUCUGUCAAUCCUUAGACAUUAAUACAACUCUUUAAGGCAGAGGUCCCCAAGCCCCAGGUUAUGGACAAGCACAAGUCCAUGUCCUGUUAGGAACCUGGCCGCACAGUGGGAGGUGAGCAAGCAUUAAUGCCUGAACUCCACCUCCUGUCAGAUCAGAGGCCACAUCAGAUUCUCAUAGGAGCGCAAACCCUACUGUGAACUGCGCAUGCAAGGGAUCUAGGUUGCAUGCUCCUUAUGAUAGUCUAACUAAUGUCUGAUGAUUCAAGGUGGAACAGCUUCAUCCUGAAACCAUCCCCCUCCAGCCCCAUUCACGGAAAAAUUGUUUUCCACAAAACCCAUCCCAGGUGCCAAAAAGUUUGGGGACCGCUGCUUUAAGGAAUAGCAAAUCUGAACAAACAUCAUUUGGUGCCAGGGAAAACAGAUUAUAAAGUAGACAUUCAAAUAUAUUACUGAAGCUUCAGAUGGCCACUUGCAUCAGAAGACAUUCAUUCUCUACAUUAUUCCUGAGAAAAGCAGGUGUGAUUUAGUCUAUAGAGUAGACUGCUUAGUCAGAAAACUCUGUGACUAAGCAAACAUGGAACAUUAUUCUUUUUUUAGAUUUUCAUCACCAUAUUAUGCUAAAACUGUAGGACUGUAAGCUUAUCAAUUCAUUAGUUAUAUAUUUGAGCUAUAUGUAAUUAAUUUAAAGUAUAAUAUAAAUGCAGUUUGUAUUACAUAUUUAUAUACAAUUUAAAUAAUUUAAAAUAUAUAGGAAAUUGUGGCCAGGUGUGGUGGCUCAUGCCUGUAAUCCCAGCACUUUGGGAAGCUGAGGUGGGCAGAUCACUUGAGGCCAGGAGUUUGAGACCAGGCUGGCCAACAUGGUGAGACCACAUCUCUAUUAAAAAUACAAAAAUUAGCCUUGCGUGGCACAUGCCUAUAAUCUCAGCUACUUGGGAGGCUGAGGCACGAGAAUCAUUUGAACUUGGGAGGCGGAGGUUGCAGUGAGCCAUGAUCAUGCCACUGUACUCCAGCCUGGGCCACAGAGUGAGACUCUGUCUCAAAAAAAAGAGAAAAAAGAAAAUUAUAAGUGUAUUAACUUGAUUGGAAGUUGGGUCAGAUUUUAAAUAAACUUAAAGAUGUUUUUUCUCUGUGAUUAUGAGUCAAUAAUAAUAUAUUGUCUACUGGAGUGCUGUUUGCAAGUACAGAAAAAAAAGAGAAUAGGGAUCGGGAUAAUAAGAUUUAUUUUUUCUCAGAAGCAUGAACUCUUUUUUAAAAAAAUUUGUGAACCAUCCUAGAAAUUUAAUUUUUUAAAAUGUAUUUUAUAAGAAAAGUUUUGUUUAUUAUAAAAGGCUUAGAAAAUACAGAAAUGUCUUAAUAAGCAAAUUUAAAUCACAAUCACUUAUGAUACUACCAUUCAGAGAUAAUAAACAAUGCCAAUAUUUUGCUGUAUUUGUUUUAGAUAUACACAUAAUAAAAACAUUCAAGAUGA
rnacentral:sRNA from 1 species